rnacentral:rRNA from 1 species
GACGAACGCUGGCGGCGUGCUUAACACAUGCAAGUCGAACGAGGCCCCUCCUUCGGGAGGGUGUCCUAGUGGCGAACGGGUGAGUAACACGUGGGCAACCUGCCCCCGGCUCUGGGAUAACCCCAAGAAAUUGGGGCUAAUACCGGAUAUGACCGCUGACCGCAUGGUCUGGUGGUGGAAAGAUUUAUCGGCUGGGGAUGGGCCCGCGGCCUAUCAGCUUGUUGGUGGGGUAGUGGCCUACCAAGGCGACGACGGGUAGCCGGCCUGAGAGGGUGGCCGGGCACCCGGGGACGGGGACACGGCCCAGACGCCUACGGGAGGCAGCAGUGGGGAAGAGUGCGCAAUGGGCGGAAGCCUGACGCAGCGACGCCGCGUGAGGGAUGACGGCCUUCGGGUUGUAAACCUCUUUCAGCAGGGACGAAGCGCAAGUGACGGUACCUGCAGAAGAAGCACCGGCCAACUACGUGCCAGCCGCCGCAGUAACAC